AGCCCUCGUGAGUGGCAUUAGGCUUGACUGACUUACAAAAAAUCUUAACCAACUGUGUUCAGCCCUUUUCCCUUUCUGCCCUCUGCCAUGUGAGGUCACAGUGUUCCUCCCUCCUGAGGAUGCAGUGUUCAUGAAAGCAAACACUGGGCCCUCACCAGGCAACAAACCUGCUGGUGCCUUCAUCUUGGACUUCCCAGCCUUCGGAACUAUGGAGCCCGCACUCUCCAGUUCAUCACCACCCCAGCAUCCCUACUCUUGCAUCUAACAGUUUCCGCUAUUUUGCACCACCUGCCUGGCCCUUAUGGGCAACUCAAGGAAGAAAGGAAAGAAGAGAUAGAGGAAAAAUGGAUUCAACAAAUGAAAGUGUUCUUUCUGACUACUGCUGUGUUUACAAACAUUUUAAUCAUCAAAACAUGCUUUAUUUGAUAGAAAGAUCAAAUCUGCCUUUGUAAAACAAGAGACUAUUUUAAUCAUUAAGACAACACACAUGUUUGAUUUGGAGGCGUGUUCUCAUUCAAAACCUUGCAAAAUAUAAUUUCUUCUUGUCUGGGAGAUGGUGUCUUUCUUCGGGGAGAACCUUGAGAGAAAUGUCUAUGAAUGUGUCUGUAGAUUGAGGAUAGGCCAACAAACAUAUUUUGAAAUAUUUUUUCUUUCUUUUAAAAAAAUAGAUACUUUUAAAAGAAAAUGCUUAUUUAAAUUACAUAGCUCUUUUUUUCACUCUCAGUCAUCAUUUGUGGUUUCAGUCAGUACUACAUUUAUUCCCCAGAGCUAGGAUUGCUGUGUUUUUAGAAAGGGAGCCUGUUUGAAGGGACUCUAUACUCUUGCAGUAAUUAAAAUCCUUUUAGGAGUCUUUGACUUUGACUUACUGCUUUGUUUUAAAUUAUUGAAAUUAUUCAACUUCCCCAUUCUAACCCACGGAAGGCUGUUGUUGUUCUCAUUUAUAAUGGCACAAUAUAAGUUUAAAGAUAGCUGUCUCCACAUGAAUGCAUCUGCAAAUCCAUCUCUCUUCUCUCUUCUGCCAUCCAGGUUAAGAAGCUCCACUGCGCUUUGUCCAUUGCAAGUUGAGAAGUGAGGCCCCAGCUGUCACAUACAGUGAGUGAAGAAGCUGAGCUUCCCUCAACGCCUGGGCCUGCUCCAUCACAAGAGGGAGCCCCAUUGCUAGUCCCCAUCCUCAAAGCCUCUGCGUGAUGUUGUCUACUGUUACUCUUCACUACCCUGUGGGAGCCAAAGCCCUGGACAUAAGAACAGAAGGCAAGCAGUGGUGGCUGAGAGGAAGAACUGACACCUUUGUGCUAUCAGAGCACUUUGCAGAGGAGCUGUUAGUGGCCCUGUAGGAGUCUGCUGGCCAUACAUCUGGGUGUCAAAUCAAGAGAGCAUGAGAAGUUGGACAGGAAAGGUCCAAGGCAAAAUGGUUACUAAAGGCCAUCCCUGAUCCUGACCCUAAAAGAAGAAAAGGCCCUUUGCUCUUGGCAUGCUUUUGCAGGAGUGUCUCAGUCUGUUUGGGCUGCUAUAACAUUGACUGGGUGAUCUGCCUGCCUGGCCUCCCAAAGUGCUGGGGUUACAGGUGUGAGCCGCUGCACCAGGCCUUGAGGUCAGGAGUUCGAGACCAGCCUGGCCAACAUGGUGAAACCUGUCUUUACUAAAAAUACAGAAAUUAGCCAGGCAUGGAGGCGCAUGCCUGUAAUCCCAGCUACUGGGGAGGCUGAGGCAGGAGAAUCGCUUGAACCCAGAAGGUGGAGGUUGCGGUGAGCCCAGAUAGUGCCAUUGCACUCUAGCCUGGCCAACAAGAGUGAAACUCUGUCUCAAAAAAUAAAUAAACAAACAAACAAACAACAAC
rnacentral:lncRNA from 1 species